rnacentral:lncRNA from 1 species
GGGCAUUCUGGCAGCUCUGAUAAAGAAGUGUUUAUUGAUCCAUUACAGAUAAGAGUCCAGCAAGGGAGGAGAGACAUGAUCAAAUACAGGUCACCACCCCCCCCGGCUCUGCCACGAGGUGAAGAGGGCUCAGAGAGGAGGGGGCAGCCGGAGAGUCACCGGGCCGACUAGGGGGUGCUCAGGUCCCUUGACUUCUCAGCGCUCCGCAGGGACACAGUACUGGUAAUCCACUCGGCACUGGUUAUCCAAGAAGACACCACCACCCCUCUAAACGAGAGUCACG